rnacentral:lncRNA from 1 species
UCCUCCUCGAGCUCCUCCUUGGUGCAGACAAUUCACCGCGUGAAUAGCUGCUUCUCCUUGAGCUCCUCCUUGGGCUAGGGGAGAUGCUUCGUGGAUAGCUCCUCCUUGGUGCAGGGGAUACACUGCGUGAAAAGCUUCUCCUUGAGGUCCUCCUCCAUGGGCUAGGGGAGAUGCUUCGAGCAUAACUCCUCCUUGAAUAGCUUCUCCUCGAGGUCCUCCUCCAUGGGCUUGGGGAGAUGCUUCGUGAAUAACUCCUCCGAGCCCUGCAUGGAGUAGGACUGCGAGAUACAGAGCAAUAGUGGUGUCUUCUAU